rnacentral:lncRNA from 1 species
AAUCUUCACAAUAACUCUGUGAUGUAAAUCCCCAUUUUACCAUUGAGUAAACUAAGACAAAGAGAGGUUAAGUGACUUGUCCAGGGUCACACAUCUAGUAAGUAUCUGAGGAUGGAUUUGAUAUUGGGUCUUCCUGACUCCAGCUCAGUGCUCUGAUCCACUAUGCCACCAGCAUCCUCUAUAGACCAGGAAGAGCCUCAGGGCAGCAGAUUGUCAUGUCCUCCUUUUCCAGUAACAAUGGUCAUAUUCAUUUAAUUAUUUCCAGGGUAAGGACAAGAUGUAGAAAGGGGUGGAUGAGUAGAUGGCAAGCUAUAUCUGUCUUUGGUAGAUCCCCACUGUCCUGAUGGCUGGUUGGCUGGGAAAAUACAGCAUGUCAUCUUAGGCACACUCACUAUUCAGGACAGCUCUGCAUCAAGGGAAAGGUGCAGAGCUUAUUGGAUCAACUUGCUGAUGGGUAGGAGACCUGGCAGGGACAUCUGAUCAGCAAAAAGGCUGAUAGCAAGAUGCCUAUGAUGAGUCAUUGAGAAUCGCCCACAAUGCCAAGUACAUAGUCUUACAUGAGUGAUCUGUUAUCAUAUCAAUUUGGGACUUCCCUCCAGUGGCAAAGACUGCUCAUCCUGUUUGACUUUUGGCUACGUCCUCCUGUAAGUUCAAAAGAUGGGGUUCAUCCAGCACAUUGAAGGCCUGCCUCAAUUUCUGUUGACAUUGCAAAGGGCACAACAAGGGCACUCUGAACGUCUAUUAACUUGUCAUCACAUGCCUUGCCACAUGGCCAACCCAUCUUUUCUUCCUAUCACAUCUCCUGGAGGAUAUCUUCUGCUUUUUUUUCUUUUAUGGAAGUUCCUCAUUGCCCAUAUGUUGAGCCUGCUACAACUGCAAUCACACCUCUGUGUCCAAGGAAACUGCUCUACUUCUUCAUCACUUUGUCCCUCAAUAUCUCUGACAACCUGAGAGCUGUUUGUCCCUUGCCAACAUUUCCCCUGGUACUUGUACACUACGUACUAGAAGACCUGCGAUCCUUUUUGCCUUUUCCCUUGUUUGCUCAGGACCUAGCUUCUUCAUCUUUCCUCAUUAACUUGCUUUAGAUCACAGGAUGGUAGUUAAAACCAUAGAGCCUUCUGUUAGGAGAGAAAACCCUUGUCAGUUCCAGUUUCCUGUCAUAUCAGCUUAAGGGACAGGGGCUGACCUCUCUAGCAGAAGAAAAUAAUCUGAAGGUGAAAGUCUGAAAGUGAUCACAGGCAAUAAUGUGUGUCAUAGGGGGAGUAAAACUGGGAGGGGAAAAAAUAAACUAGAAGAGGUGGUCA